ACCGCCUACAAUGUGGGUAAGGGUGAAAAGGUGUGGUAAGAGCACACCGCGUAACAGGCAACUGAUUAUGGCUAUGCAAACCCCGUCUGGAGCAAGACCAAAUAGAAGCUCUAUAGUCAGUCCUGACUGAGCUUGGGUAGGUUGCUUGAAUCUUGUGGCGACACAAGAUCUAGAUGAAUGAUUAUCCUAGACAGAACCCGGCUUAUAGGCUAGCUCAAACC
rnacentral:RNase_P_RNA from 1 species